CUAAUGAAAUCCCUUGAUGCUAUACUUGUUUUUGAUUUCAAGGUGAAGGAUGUGUAUUAAUUAGAGACAACUGGAGGCAUUUAAAAGUCAACCUCACAUAUCUGGGUCAUGGUUCGGUCAUAAUAUCCCAUGUGCUUUCUGAUUGAAGCACUUCUUCAUUAAACAAAACCUGCUGCUUUAGCAUACAUUCCCUACAUUCAGAAGAUGCCCUGCACAUUUUCACCCAGAGACAUCAACACCAACAUGUCACUCUUGUGUGUAGACACGGAUAGCUGCUGGGAGCAGAGGCUUUCAAGAGGGACCAUAAUGCUGUGUUUUCUGGAAGCAUUUGAUUUGUGUCAUGAAUGCUGUCUCAGGCAUGACUCACUGAUAAAAUGAAAUUAGAGGAAAAUAAGAUUUCCAGCUUCAAUGAAACCAUCUCUCAGGAUCUACAGUAUUCUGUGAACAUAUGCUACGCUGAUUACUGGGUGUAAAAUAUGAAGAGACAUUUUAAGUAAAAAUGGAUAAAGUAGGUGCAUUUAUCUUUCUCUUUGAAUAUAAUUGAGAUGCUUGAAUGCACAGAAAACACAGACCAACCACUUCCCUUGAUGUUAAGCAUAUUUGGAUUUUUGGGGCCUGAAUAAUAAUAAACUUCUAUAGUAAUACCAUGAAAA